AUGAGGAGCGGCGAGACCCUAGAUGAGCUCGCCAUGCGCAUGAACGGGAUCGCCAACAAGCUGCGCAUGCUCGGCGAGAACCUCGACGAGGUGAAGGUCGUCAAGAAGCUUCUCCGCAUCGUGCCGUCCAAGUAUACUCAGGUAGCUAUUGCCAUUGAACAGCUUCUUGAUCUUAAAACCAUGUCCAUGGAAGAGCUUGUGGGAAGGCUCAAAACGGCGGAGGACCGGAGCGACUUGGACGAGGGCGCCAGCAACUACGACCAGGGUGGUGGGAGCUGCCUGCUCCGCACGGAGGAGGAGUGGCUUGCUCGCCACCGCAGUGGCGCCGGCAAGAAGAAGGGCAACUUCGACAUACGCAAGGUGCGUUGCUACAACUGCCAAGAGUACGGGCAUUACUCCAAGGACUGCACCGAGCCAAGGAAGCAGCGGGCGCUUCUUGCUGCCGCGACGGCCGACGACGAGCCGGGGCUGCUUUGA
rnacentral:rRNA from 1 species